CGUCGCCGCAUGUAGUUCGCGUAAUUUCGAGCGUUGUACUAAGUCUGCAGCGUUUUAGAGGCUUUGUGUUGUUGUUCCCACUUGAUGCUGUCGUUCUUGCAACGCGUCUGAUAUUGCAACUGUCCGUAAGUGGAAGCGUUUCUUCUAACCGCGAGCAGACCAGUCAGUCUCGUUUGAAAUGUCAGAGUGGAGACGCGGCCCUGGAUGUGAAGCCAAAUCGCUCUUCUCCUUCAGGAGUCUUGCCAUUUCAGGCGAUCUGCGCAACGACAGGAACAUAGAACGCCAGGCGAAACCGUUAGUGACUGUAUACUUUGUGCAGAGGGCUGGGCGUGUGCGACGCAGCGGCCUCCAGCAAGAGCAAGAUAGACGCGAGCACAGUGUUCAAUGUGGUGGGGACGCUUGCUCGUCAUGACAAUGCUUACAUGUGCUUUUGCGGAAGAAGGACAAGUUCGACUGGAAAUGAGGACCUAGGUUUGCUCUCUUUUUCAUUGUUGUUCACCGUUCGACCAUUACCAAUUUUGUGCCCCAGAAGUUCAGCGCUCAGGUGUGUUGAUGAUAAAUAGAUACGCGUUGAAAGGUACGUACUCCGGAGUGGUGAAUAAAGUGAUUCGUUGCUACUA